CACGUAGUUAGCCGGUGCUUCUUAUACAGGUACCGUCACAAAAAGCUUCGUCCCUGUCGAAAGGAGUUUACAACCCGAAGGCCUUCAUCCCCCACGCGGCGUCGCCGCAUCAGGCUUCCGCCCAUUGUGCAAUAUUCCCCACUGCUGCCUCCCGUAGGAGUCUGGGCCGUAUCUCAGUCCCAAUGUGGCCGUACACCCUCUCAGGCCGGCUACCCGUCGACGCCUUGGUAGGCCAUUACCCCACCAACAAGCUGAUAGGCCGCGAGCUCAUCCCCAACCGCAAAAGCUUUCCACCUUCCACACUAAAGAAAGGUCAUAUCCGGUAUUAGACCCAGUUUCCCAGGCUUAUCCCAAAGUUGAGGGCAGAUCACCCACGUGUUACUCACCCGUUCGCCACUCGAGUACCCGCAGCAAGCUGCAGGCCUUUCCGUUCGACUUGCAUGUGUUAAGCACGCCGCCAGCGUUCGUCCUGUGCCACGGAGUCAAACUAC
rnacentral:rRNA from 1 species